rnacentral:rRNA from 1 species
AGAGUUGAUCAUGGCUCAGGAUGAACGCUGGCGGCGUGCCUAACACAUGCAAGUCGAACGGACCUUUAAUGACAGAGACUUCGGUCGACGAAGUUUAAGGUUAGUGGCGGACGGGUGAGUAACGCGUGGAGAACCUGCCCUGGUACUGGGGGAUAACAGUGAGAAAUUACUGCUAAUACCGCAUAAGCGCACGGGACCGCUUGGUCUUGUGUGAAAAACUCCGGUGGUACAGGAUGGCUCCGCGUUGGAUUAGCCAGUUGGCGGGGUAACGGCCCACCAAAGCGACGAUCCAUAGCCGGCCUGAGAGGGUGAACGGCCACAUUGGGACUGAGACACGGCCCAGACUCCUACGGGAGGCAGCAGUGGGGAAUAUUGCACAAUGGGGGGAACCCUGAAUGCAGCGACGCCGCGUGAAGGAAGAAGUAUCUCGGUAUGUAAACUUCUAUCAGCAGGGAAGAAAAUGACGGUACCUGACUAAGAAGCCCCGGCUAACUACGUGCCAGCCGCCGC